GGGGAUAAGAGACACACAAUGGGCUUGUAAGAGAUACACUAAAGGGGAGUGUAAGACACAAAACCUAAAAAAAAUUAUUAAAAUAAAUAUCAAAAUAAAGAGCUGCACCCCUCUCAACCCCUAUCCUACCCCACAAACCCUCUCUUUCACACUACACACAUUCACAAUGCAUCCGUACACAUACACAGAAACACACUAUGCAUCCCGUACACACACUACUUCUCUUAAUGCAUUUUACACACACUCAGUGCACCCAUUACAGGUACACACUGCAUUACAUUACAUACACAGAAACACACACUACAUCCCUUACACAAACUAGUAUCCCUAUACACUACUUUCCAUAAGAACACACACACACACUACAUCAGCUACAAUAACACAUCCCCUACACACAUACACUCCACUCCCUGUGAGCGAACUCAUGGGCAAGCCUUGUAGGCAUACUCUCAGGGGCCCAAAAAAUGGAGCUGCUUCCUGUUUGUUGUUUUUGUGAGCACUGCCUCCAGAGAGCCUGUUUUAAUACCAGACCAGUGAUGGCAGACUGCAGCCUGAGCCCAUCAUCGUCCUCUUGUCUUCAUCUACAGCGCUACGGCUGCGUUAUAUAAAUAAUAAAAUAAUCUGGUAGUAAGUAGGCAAUCCAGUAUAUUAUUAGUGGCACUAAUCUCUAAUUUACCUCACAGGAACACUAUAGCUUAAUGAAGUGGUUUUAGUGUAUAGAUCACGCCUCUCAUGUUUCACUGCUCAAUUCUCUGCCAUUUAGGAGUUAAAUCACUUUCUUUCUGUUUAUGCAGCCUUUGCCCCCCCCCUCCCCUCCCCCCCUGGCUGUGAUUGAGACAGUCUGUAUAGGAAAAAAAUGGUUUCACUUUCAAUCAGAUGAAUUUUACCUUUUAAACAAUUUUAUCUCCUGCUCUGUAAAUUUUACUUUAAUCACAUACAGGAGGCUCGUGCAGGGUCUAGCAAGCUAUUAACAUAGCAGAGGAUAAGAAAAUCUAAAUUAAACAUAACUUAUAAUAAAGAAAGGAUAAACGUUAGAUUACUCUUUACAGGAAGUGUUUAGGAAGGCUGUGCAAGUCACAUGCAGGGAUGUGUGACUAGAUUUCAUAAACAAAGUGAUUUAACUCCUAAAUGGCAGAGGAUUGAGCAGUGAGGCUGCAUGGGGCAUGUUUUAUACACUAAAACUGCUUCAUUAAGCUAAAGUUGUUUUGGUGACUAUAGUGUCCCUUUUAAAGGGACACUGUAGUCACCAGAACCACUGCAGCUCAAUGUAGUGGUUCUGGUGUCUACAGCCUGUCCCUGCAGGCUUUUGUUAUGGAAAGACACUGUGAGCAGCACUGGCAUUCGCUCAUAUGGCAGAUCAUAUGGGUGGGGUAUUGUGAUGUCACACAUGGGGGGCAAAUUUUUGUUUGCUCAAGGCGGCAAAAAUCCUUGCACCAGCCCUGCAAACUUUACUAAAUAAUUAUGUUCUAACAAGCAAGAUACAAAAUUUAGCAUACAUUUGCAUGUUUUUUAAAAAUAUAUAUUUGGGGGGUAGGGGGGUUAAAUGUUGAAGCUGUUUUAAUAGGGCUAAAUAAGUUGUGUUGGGUUAAUUUCAUAUUUAUGCAUUCUGUUUAUAACAUAUUGGACUGCAACUCACAUUAUGUCUGGUCAGAUUUGCCACCUCUAGAAAAUGUGGUGAAUUUAUGUGAGAAAAGUACAUGCUAGACCAAAAUAGCUGAGCUGGCAAUAUGGAUGCACUGUCUAAUUUUUCCAAUUUGACUUUUUUGGUCUAAUAUUUGCAGUUAUCCAUUUUCCAUUAUUCCUAUACCAGUGAACAGCAGCAGUUAGGCAGGUUAGUCUCUCCUACUUUCAGAUUCCUGUAACAUAUGCACAUAUUAUUCAGAUUGCUCACUGUAAACACCAAUGAAUAAGGGAGUCUGUCUGAAAAUCAAAUAAACACUGUUGUAAACACUUUUGCUUCCAAACUGUUCCUGAAAACACAGUUAAUGCACGAUUGUAAACGUCCCAACCUUUGGAAUGGACAAAGAGGAACUCUUUUGUGUUGGGAGUGGGACAUUAGAGGUGUUUUUUAGAUUACUUCAUGGCCUAUUUAAAGCUUUGUAUAGAACGGUUGUUUUAGUACCAGAACAAAGUAUUUUAUUUACACAGGAAUUGUAUAAACAUUUAAAAAUGUACUUUUCCAUGAGGUUUAUUGUAGAACAGAUCUGUAAUAAAUUCACAUACUAAAGCACAUUGUUGG